CCAAAAGCUGGCGACCGGCGCACGGGUGAGUAACACGUAUCCACCUGCCUCAUACUCGGGGAUAGCCUUUCGAAAGAAAGAUUAAUAUCCGAUAGCAUAUAUUUCCCGCAUGGGUUUUAUAUUAAAGAAAUUCGGUAUGAGAUGGGGAUGCGUUCCAUUAGUUUGUUGGGGGGUAACGGCCCACCAAGACUACGAUGGAUAGGGGUUCUGAGAGGAAGGUCCCCCACAUUGGAACUGAGACACGGUCCAA
rnacentral:rRNA from 1 species